UUAAAUUGAAGAGUUUGAUCAUGGCUCAGAUUGAACGCUGGCGGCAGGCCUAACACAUGCAAGUCGAACGGUAACAGGAAGCAGCUUGCUGCUUCGCUGACGAGUGGCGGACGGGUGAGUAAUGUCUGGGAAACUGCCUGAUGGAGGGGGAUAACUACUGGAAACGGUAGCUAAUACCGCAUAAUGUCGCAGGACCAAAGAGGGGGACCUUCGGGCCUCUUGCCAUCAGAUGUGCCCAGAUGGGAUUAGCUUGUUGGUGAGGUAACGGCUCGACCAAGGCGACGAUCCCGUAGGCUGGUCUGAGAGGAUGACCAGCCACACUGGAACUGAGACACGGUCCAGACUCCUACGGGAGGCAGCAGUGGGGAAUAUUGGCACAAGUGGCGCAAGCCUGAUGCAGCCAUGCCGCGUGAUGA
rnacentral:rRNA from 1 species